rfam:Spiribacter salinus M19-40, complete genome.
GGGCCGUUAGCUCAAUUGGUAGAGCAGCUGACUCUUAAUCAGUUGGUUGAAGGUUCGAGUCCUUCACGGCCCA